CAACUUUCAACAACGGAUCUCUUGGCUCUCGCAUCGAUGAAGAACGCAGCGAAAUGCGAUAAGUAAUGUGAAUUGCAGAAUUCAGUGAAUCAUCGAAUCUUUGAACGCACCUUGCGCCCCUUGGUAUUCCGAGGGGCACGCCUGUUUGAGUGUCAUUA
rnacentral:rRNA from 2 species